CAACCUGCCCAUCACUUGGGGAUAACCUUGCGAAAGUAAGACUAAUACCCAAUGAUAUCUCUAGAAGACAUCUGAGAGAGAUUAAAGAUUUAUCGGUGAUGGAUGGGGAUGCGUCUGAUUAGCUUGUUGGCGGGGUAACGGCCCACCAAGGCAACGAUCAGUAGGGGUUCUGAGAGGAAGGUCCCCCACAUUGGAACUGAGACACGGUCCAAACUCCUACGGGAGGCAGCAGUGAGGAAUAUUGGUCAAUGGGCGGAAGCCUGAACCAGCCAAGUAGCGUGCAGGAUGACGGCCCUAUGGGCUGUAAACUGCUUUUAUACAGGAAUAAAGUUAGCCACGUGUGGUUAUUUGUAGGUACUGUAUGAAUAAGGACCGGCUAAUUCCGUGCCAGCAGCCGCGGUAAUACGGAAGGUCCAGGCGUUAUCCGGAUUUAUUGGGUUUAAAGGGAGCGUAGGCCGUCUGUUAAGCGUGUUGUGAAAUGUAGAUGCUCAACAUCUGAAUUGCAGCGCGAACUGGCAGACUUGAGUGUGCGCAACGUANGCGGAAUUCGUGGUGUAGCGGUGAAAUGCUUAGAUAUCACGAAGAACUCCGAUUG
rnacentral:rRNA from 1 species